UACGGAGGGAGCUAGCGUUAUUCGGAAUUACUGGGCGUAAAGCGCACGUAGGCGGCUUUGUAAGUAAGAGGUGAAAGCCCAGAGCUCAACUCUGGAAUUGCCUUUUAGACUGCAUCGCUUGAAUCAUGGAGAGGUCAGUGGAAUUCCGAGUGUAGAGGUGAAAUUCGUAGAUAUUCGGAAGAACACCAGUGGCGAAGGCGGCUGACUGGACAUGUAUUGACGCUGAGGUGCGAAAGCGUGGGGAGCAAACAGGAUUAGAAACCCGUGUAGU
rnacentral:rRNA from 1 species